UUGCGGUUAAAAAGCUCGUAGUUGGAUCUCGGCGGGCAGGGGGUGGUUCGCUCUUCAGCGCUACUGCCCCGCUUUGCCCGUGUGAUUGGCGGAGGUUUCGGGGUGCUCUUCGUUGAGUGACUCGGAGCGCCGUCAGGUUUACUUUGAAAAAAUUAGAGUGCUCAAAGCAGGCUUUUCACGCUUGAAUAUUCGUGCAUGGAAUAAUGGAAUAGGAACUCGUUUCUAUUUUGUUGGUUUUCGGAAAUCGAGUUAAUGAUUAACAGGGACAAUUGGGGGCAUUAGUAUUCAGACGACAGAGGUGAAAUUCUUGGACCGUCUGAAGACUGACUACUGCGAAAGCAUUUGCCAAGAGUGUUUUCAUUAAUCAAGAACGAAAGUUAGAGGUUCGAAGGCGAUCAGAUACCGCCCUAGUUCUAACCAUAAAACGAUGCCAGCUAAGCGGUCUGCCUGCGUUUUUUACUGUAAACUGGGCAGGAAGCUUUCCCGGGAAAC
rnacentral:rRNA from 1 species